AUGUCAAACUGGAGGCCAUAUUUCCUGAUGAAAAAUUAUUUGGUAGUACUCAUGAAACUCCAUGGCUUUGAAAAUAAAGAUGUUUUAAAAAGAGCUCAAACGGUUUGCAAAUCGUGUGGCAGGUGCCGUUGCACAGAGGAAAUCCAUCCAUCCAGCUACACCUAUCUGACGCUAGCGGGAAGGGGAGGGCAUGAAGAUCCGGAAAGACCGGCCAGGGGCAAAGAAGAUGGAGGCUUAGGAACUCGGGCGGACUCACCGGCGGAGGGCCAGAGGACGUCGCUGGCGCUGACGCCGCGGGGCGACGCCGGCGUGACAUUGGCCGCUGACGCCGCCGCCGUCGCGACGACGUGGAGGUCUCGCCUCCUCGUCCUCAUGGCGUCGCCGGUGGUGGUCUUGCGCGAGAGGAGAUGCGCCUGCCCGCCGCCGCCGCCAUUGGCGUGCAGGAGGAAGACAGGUGAAGAGGAGGGCGCGUGGGACGCCGCUGCCAGACACCGUGACCCUGCUCCUGCCAAGAUACUGCUGCAGCCAAUGCCGGGCAGCUUCAGCAGUGCCAUGGUUUUGUCCCUCUCUCCCUCUACUCUUCUUCCUGUUUCGGGUACCCAGAGCCUGUCUCCUAUAGACUAUGGUUUCAAAGAACCUAAUUAA
rnacentral:rRNA from 1 species